CAAAAAGUCUUGCAAAUUCUUAAGCCGAUUAUACGCUAGAGUAGGUUUGUACGUAUUAUGCACAAAAUUAACACCUUUGUUAUUUGAUAACUUUAAAAGAUCCCAGUAUUUAUUAAUUGAACGGCCAAUAUUUGGUAACGACGGAUUAUAUACCACUGUGAAUGGGAGUACAUUUUUCUUGUCUCUGGUUGAGGAAUUUAGUGCGUCACUUUGUGUCAUAUGUGAUACUUUUUCAAAAGCUGCAUCUAUCACAGAUUUAGGAAAAUUUCUGUCUUAAAAGAAGUCACGUAAUUCAUUAAGUGAUGAAUUAAAUGAAUUGUCGUCCGAUAUAAUUCUCCUAUAACGUUUGGCCUGACAGGAAUUCCGUCCUUGCACAUUUUCGGAUGACAUGAUGUGUAGUCGAGAUAUUGAUGGUUGCUUGUUUCUUUCACAUAAAUAUCUGUUUCAAUCUGAAGCGAAUCGCUUUUCGAUACUUGAACAUCCAAGAAGCAAAAGGAUUUAUUCGAUAUGGUGUGAGUAAACUUAACAUUCGGGUGGAAGCUAUUUAUUUCAUUGAUGAAUGAAUGCAGUUCGUCAAGCGAAUGGUCCCAUAUCAUAAACACAUCAUCAAGAAACCUUAACCACAGUGUUGGUUUGAUGUCCCGGGAUUGGAAGAAGUCAUGUUCAAACUUGCCCAUGAACAGGGAAGCAUAAGUUGGUGCCAUAGAACUACACAUGGCCGUGCCCAUCCUUUAGAGGCAUGCCAGUGAAAUCUUCAGUGUCACCUUUCAGCUAUGGUUGAAGAUCAGUGUCUGCAACUUGUAUAUUUCAAUAUGGAGGAGCCUUCCAUUUAGCCACAUAUUUUCUGUUAUUUUAGGGCACACAUGUAGAGUUAAAGCAGCUAGUCCUUUUCAGCCGUGCAUAGACCCUGAGAAUAUGUACACAUUACACUAUUACAUGCUGCUAUACAGUGUAUUCCACAUUUUUUGUCUUGUAUUGUACCAGUAGUGUUUAUAGUACAGUAUCACUGUACGUUCACAAAUCAAAGUUAAGAUCAUGAAGUUCGGUAUUAUUAAAAUGAUUAAUUAUUUGUAUGUAAAACGUUUCUAAGGUUUGCAUCUAAGGUUGUAAGUUUUAUGUUGGCAUAAUUUUUCUUCUCCUUCAUAAAUUUAAGAGGUGAGUGGUCAUUGUAAUUGCAAUAUCAGUUUAGUAUGGCAAAUUUUAUAUUGAAAUACAAUACCAAUGCAUUUUUUUUCAACUACUCAAUGGAUUUUCUUCGAUCCUAAAAUAUUUGUUAAUCGUACUUAUUAUGGUCAAUAACUCCUCCUAAUGACUUAGCUUUUUGCUCAGAAUUUUAUCUCAUCCAACAGUGGGAGAGAGACAGACGUAUUAAUUUUGCCUUUGCCGUCUGUCCGGAUAAUGCCUGUACGGCUUUCACAGGACAAAUGCUGGCCAUAUUUCGACGAAAUUUCAUAUGAGUGAUCAGUACCAAGCCUAGUGUUGUGCAUAUUUCUGUCACGUUCCGUUUCGCUGCACAAAAUGGCAGCCAGAGCUGGAAAUAGAAAAGUCUUGACAGAUUUUGAUGAAACUUCACAAGAGUGAGAAGUACUAAGCCUAGAUUUGCAUAUCACCGACACAUUCCCAGUAUAUGUAGCCAGUAUAUGUAAAGGUAUACGUUGGUGGGAGACAUGUUUUGUCACAAAACACCUAAAACAUCUUCCAGUAUGCUAAUAAAAUAUGUUUUUAAACUUCUAACACUUGUUCACUGUAAUAAUUUGACAUUAAAUGCACUGGUUUGGCUGUUUUGCAAAAUUAUUGCACAAUUCUUACCAUAGCAAUAUUUUGUGUAACUUGUUACCUUAUUAAACAUCGUGAGCAGAAAGUUCUAUGACUAUGAAAUGUAAGCCCUUUUUUACUUGUCAUGUUUAUUUUUUCAGUAUUUUAUAAUGUCAUUACUGUUUGCUGUGCUAGUUUGCAGAAGUGAAGACAAAGUUGUCCAUAUGGUAAGCAUGCGUCCGUCCGGAUUUGUUUGUCUGGACUGUAUUAUUGAUAUGUCUUUACGGAAUCUUGCAGGUUAAUUUCUUUAAGAUCCCUAUCAACUUUAAAAGUGGCAUGAUUACUUUAAAUAAGCAACACUACAGUGAUGUCACCACUGUACUAGUCAAAAUAUUCGUAUAUUUUUGUUUCAGAUUUUUAUCACAUUUCAGGCUACUGGUCUGUUGCAGCCUUAAUAGAACAUUUUCAUUUUGGAUUUGAAUUGUCAUUAUUCAACAUUAAGAGGUAGUAUUAUAAGGCAAUAUUUGACUUCUUGUACAGUAUUUGAUUUUCACUGUUUCUAUGAAAUUGCCAUUUCCUAGAAAUUGGCUGGUUUAUUUUUGGUGAACUUAACACACAGACUUUUGUAAAAGUAGUGAGAUAUAUAUGGUGACUGUUUCUGUUUAUAUUGCUCUAUGUACGUUUUUAUGAAUUUGAGUUAUUUUUUUUAUCUCAUGAAAAUGUCCAUCGUGUAAACAAAACUGUGUAUACAGAUAGCUCAUGUCAAACCAGUGUAUGUUUCUUUUUUUGUACCGUCAACAAAGUGCUAUACCACAUAUUUAUUACUUUCAUAAUUAUACAUCCUUGCACUAUUUUCAUAAAACAUUGUAUGAAUGACUAUAUAUCAUAUAGACAGAAUUGAAUAAAUAUUUAAGAACA
rnacentral:lncRNA from 1 species